GGCCCCAUCGUCUAGUGGUCCAGGACGCCAGGUUCUCAGCCUGGUAACCGGGGUUCGAAUCCCCGUGGGGUCACCA
rnacentral:tRNA from 1 species